GAUGAACGCUAGCGGCAGGCCUAACGCAUGCAAGUCGAGGGGGAAGUUACUUUCGGGUGACUGAGACCGGCGUACGGGUGCGUAACGCGUAUACAAUCUGCCUUUCACUGGGGGGUAGCCCGAAGAAAUUUGGAUUAAUACCCCAUAGUAUAUAGGGACGGCAUCGUUUUUAUAUUAAAGCUUAGGUGGUGAAAGAUGAGUAUGCGUUCUAUUAGCUAGUUGGAGAGGUAACGGCUCCCCAAGGCGAUGAUAGAUAGGGGUUCUGAGAGGGAUGUCCCCCACACUGGUACUGAGAUACGGACCAGACUCCUACGGGAGGCAGCAGUGAGGAAUAUUGGACAAUGGUCGGAAGACUGAUCCAGCCAUGCCGCGUGCAGGAUGAAGGUCUUAUGGAUUGUAAACUGCUUUUGUAAGGGAAGAAUAAGGGCUACGCGUAGUUUGAUGACGGUACCUUACGAAUGAGCAUCGGCUAACUCCGUG
rnacentral:rRNA from 1 species